UACGGAGGGGACUAGCGUUGUUCGGAAUUACUGGGCGUAAAGCGCACGUAGGCGGAUUUGUAAGUCAGGGGUGAAAUCCCGGGGCUCAACCUCGGAACCGCCUUUGAUACUGCAAAUCUCGAGUCCGGAAGAGGUGAGUGGAAUUCCUAGUGUAGAGGUGAAAUUCGUAGAUAUUAGGAAGAACACCGGUGGCGAAGGCGGCUCACUGGUCCGGUACUGACGCUGAGGUGCGAAAGCGUGGGGAGCAAACAGG
rnacentral:rRNA from 1 species